rnacentral:SRP_RNA from 1 species
GCUGGGCAUGGUGGCGCGUGCCUGUAAUCCCAGCUACUUAGGAGGCUGAGGCAGGAGAAUUGCCUGAACCCAGGAGGCGGAGGUUGCGGUGAGCCGAGAUCGCGCCAUUGCACUCCAGCCUGGGUAACAAGAGUGAAACUCCGUCUCAAAAAAAAAAAGGAUACAACAUCUGAUGAUCUGAAUUGAUUAUUAAUGAGAUAAUAUUUUUCUUUUCUUUUUUGAGACAGAGUUUUGCUCUUGUUGCCCAGGCUGGAGUGCAAUGGUGCCAUCUCGGCUUACUGCAGCCUCCACCUCCCGAGUUCAAGCAAUUUUCCUGCCUCA